UGUAUUUCAUUAAAUAAACAAUUUGCAUUUCAUUGAAACAUUUAGAGCUUAAUAACUCAAUCAUACUUUAUAUAUUUGGAAAGUAAGCCCACCUGGAUAGGCAAAGCCUGAAGAUCAUAAUCACAUAAACUCGUCUUGGGAAAGCAGCGCUAAUCCCCUUGGUUCAUAAAGCCUACAAGAAAUUCUAUUCUUAAUAGGUCUCGUGAAGCUAACUUAAAGUCUUAGUGAAUGUACUAAACAUACUUGAUUCAUCACGCCGGGUUUCAAAAAUUUAGUAAAUAAAUAAUUGAAAACUAAAUUCUUGAGUUAAGGACACCAACAAUAUCCUUACUCGAUUUUCUUAAAUAAUUGGAUUUAAUAAAUAAACCAAUUAAAUCAUGAAUGCUUUCACUCACAAAAAUACUUGAUGCAAAUCAUUUCAUGCUUAAUCAUAUAUGCACAUAUAAUAAUAUUAAUAUUAUUAUGCAAAUCAUUCUUUAAAUUAAUUAAUUAAACUAAUUAUAAAUUCUAAUUAGUAUAAGAAGGCAUCCCAUUUAUAUUAAAUAGUGAUAGCCCAUACUUAAACAUAUGCAGCCCAUCCUUUAAAAAAAAUCAGAGGCCCAACAUAAUUAAAUAAAAACCGGCCCAAUGCAAUGGCCCAACACACCCCAACCCUAUUCCUCUUAAUCCUUCUUCCUUCUUCCCUUUAUCAAACACACGCACACACCAGAGUUUGGUGCGGCGCCACCCUCUUCUCCAGCGAAGAGCGCCGCCUCCGGUCACCCUCUUGGCGACGGCGCUACUAAAAAAGAAAAUAGGCAUAACGGUUUUUGAAACAAACCGUUAUGUAUGAGCGCUUUUUUUAGAAUAGAUAACGGUUUACUAAACUUUCGUUAUGUAUGUAGUGUUAUCCUUAUACAUAUAUAACAGUAUCAAACCAUGCGUUAUGAAUGAGCGUUAUCUAUUAGUCGUAUGCAUAACGCUAUUAGUGAACCGUUAUGAGAUGCGUUAUCUAUGAGCUUUUCUUUGAUAACGAUAGUUAAAACGUUAAGAGAAGCGUUAUAUAUGAGCGUUCAUUUAUAACAGUUAUUUCAACUGUUAAGUUAACUGUUAUGUAUGAGCAUUAUUUAUUUUUUUUCAUUUUUUUCCAGUUUUUUAUCAAUUUAUUUUUUUCAAAAUAAUAAUAUAUCUAUUUUAAAAAUAAUAGAAAAGUUUUUAUCUAAAAAUUAAAAGUUACAAAAGAAAUUUAUUUGAAUUAGUACUUAACUAAAUAAAAAUUAAUUUUAAUUAUUAAAAAUAGAAUAAUUUAACUUACCAAUUCAAUUAUUAAUAAUUUAAUAUUCAAUCAACAUUGUUAUAUAUUUCCCUAAAAAAACAUUAUUAUAGAUAAAGUUAAAAAAAACACAAAAAAAUAAAAAAAAUAAAACAAAAGAAGUAUGAAAGCCCUAACUACAUUCAAUCAUCAUCCUCCAAUCGCUGCCCUCCUCCCACAUCCGCCCUCCUUCUCCACAUACGCCGUCGCCGGCACCGCCACCUCCACCUCCACCUCCACCUUAUCAGGCUAGCGCCACCUCCCUUCUACCUGAACCCAAACCGCCUCCACGUAAUCUGCCUCUCUCCCCUUCGGCGGACGGCUGCUCGGUGAGUGCUCGUCCGCGCCCCAUCGUUUGAAGCAGCCGCACCCGCACAGGCACAGAGCAGGCAGCGCUCCUCCGUCGUCGCUCGCCAGCUCGCCGUCCGCCUUCUCCAGCCACCCCGAGUUCCCUCUGGCUUACCAUCAGUUAGCAGCCACCAGGUGCCUUUGGUUGUCGUGCCCUAAUUUCCAAAUUUUACAAUUUUUUCUGUAUUUGUCGCACCCCGAUUUUCAAUUCCUUUUAAAAUCUGAAAGGUCUUGGGCUUUGUAGAAGUAUUUCAAUUCAUUUUAAAAUCUGAAAGGCUUCAUGGAUGCAUUUAUGUUGGUAGAUAAUUGAUUAUUUCAAACCAUGUUUCCUGUAGAAGUGGGAGCCUAUUGUUGGGUAUUCAUCUGGAAUUGUUGGUGUUGUGAUCUCUGACCCUGCUGAUAACAUAGUUUCAUCUCUUUACAAUAUUAAGGUUGUAAGUAUAGUGCAUGUUUUGGGGCUAUUCAUAUCAUCUACUCAUACAGAAAUUUACUUGUUAUUUCAAUAGUUAUUCCACUAAAAAAUGUCUAGUAAGAGAUGUCAAACUUACUCUUUUGCCGUCAACAAUGGUCCAAGAGUUGGCCUUGAACAAAAAAUCAGCUGAUUCAGCUGCAUUGGGUUUUGCCUCUGUUUGGGGUCAAGUCACUUUCAUUACAGCCUCACUUUGUAUUUCAAGAAUUGUAUUUCAUCAAACCAAACAAAACACAAUUAAAUUUCCAGCUUAUAUAUGCCUAUGCAGUAGCUAAUUAACUUGUUAUCGUUCUUUUAUAGCAAAAUUGCACCGUGGUCAUCUAUCUCAUGCUGAUGGCAAUGGAGAUGGGGUCCUAACCAUUCUCAGUGCGUUGUAUUAAUGGUAUAUAUAUAUAUAUAUAUAUAUAUAUAUAUAUAUAUAUAUAUACCCAGUUCUUUUUCUUGCAAUUUUAUAGUGAAUAUGACACAAUGUGUUAAGAAUGCAAGGAUUAUGUGACUUUCUUAGGGUUGUCUUAUAGCCACGCCUUUCAUGUUAUAUAAGACGCCUUUCUUAAGAAAAAUAAUCUAGUUAUAGCUUUUAUGUGUCGCAGUUAUAUGCAUGUUUAUAUGUUAUCUUUAUUUUUUAACUGCAUAUUAGUUGCUUGAAUAUCCUAAGGAAGAAUGCAAAGCAUGGCCUUUAGUGGUUUUUGUUCUCUAUCUCUAUGUUCAUUGUAAUUUGUAAUGUGAUGAGCUAACCAUGUUAUUAUGUCAGCUAGCCACCUUUAUUUUCUUUUGAUGCAUAAAACUGCAUUCCAAGAGUGUUCUGUGUAUGCGUAUUAUAUGAUCAGAAAUGAUAUUUUCUAUCAUGUUUAUUUGAUUUACAACGUGGAGUUGUACGCUGAGAAGGUUAACAACAGAGGGCUUUGCGCCAUUGCCCGGGCCGAAUCCCUUCACUACAAACUCCUUGGCGGUCUUGCUGUCAGGCGGUAACUAUUUAACUCUCACUUUAGAUUAUUUUUGUUGAAAAUUAAUAGCCACUAAGAAUUGCAUUCUUUGUUUGGUGUUUCUCUGUAUUUUAUUUCAUGGAGUAUUAUUUAACUGAAGUGUCACAAGAGUUCACGGUAUUAGUAAUGGUACUGUUUAAUUGGGUAUAUACACGACUUUUGAAUGACUAUUCAUAUCUAGAUUGGUUACUCCUUGUGACUAGGUAAAACUUUCAUGUCAUCUUCAAAGCAAUUUUGGUCUUUUAAUACCAUUUUUCGUGUCGGAUGAUGACUAUAGAGAUUGUCUCCCCCAUGCAAUUAUCAUCAUGAAGUGUAUUGUCCUCAAGUUGUAGUCUUGGAAGAGGCACAUAAUAAGUGAUUUUAUCUGAUUUAACUCUGUUCAAUGUAAGUAGGAAUUAAAAAUGAGGUCAUAUGCAGAAUUGAAUUUCAUACAUUGUGACCUUAUAAAUAGUUUCUUUCGUUAAUGGAGAUUUGAAGAGGUUUAUGUAUUGAAAUGUGGAUUGGCUUCUUACUACUGCUUGUUGGCUGUAGGAUGUUAUGUAAUUAGUUCAUAUCUGUGCUAUCAGAUACUCUCAAUAUGUGAUGCAAUUGAUUUAUGUUAAAAUGGUGCCUGAUUUGAACUUUUUGUUUUUCAGUACAUGCUAUGGAGUUUUGAGAUUUGUUAUGGAGAAUGGAGCAAAGGGUUGUGAGGUAUGGUAAUUGUUGUUUAGAACUUUGCCAAGUUGUCUUCUUUUGAUACCUUUCAGAUUUAAUGUACUUGAUGCUUGUAUUGCACAGGUCAUAGUUAGUGGGAAACUUAGGGCUCAGCGGGCCAAGUCCAUGAAAUUCAAGGAUGGGUACAUGAUUUUUUCUGGUCAACCAGUGAAGGAAUACAUACUCUGCUGAGACAUGUUCUGCUCAGACAUGUAUUUUAUGUGAUAUCUGAUUGAUGUAGCAUUUGUUACAUUCAUCUGAUCUCUCAUCUGUUGUUGGCUGUAGAAUAUCACGAAGAAAUCAAGGGAAUCUAUUUAUACUUGGAAUGGUGAAUAAGGAGAGGUUAGGGAAGAUGAAGAAGAAAGCCGGCCUUAUUAACUGCAGCAGAUAACCUAUGACUGAUGAGGCUGCUCUUGUCGACCACUUGAGAGCAAAUCCUAUGUUUGGAGUUGGUCUUGAUGUCUUUGAUAGCUAUCAAUAAUUAUUUUGAUGAUACAAUGUUUGGAUGAUUAAGUAUUUAUAUAAUAUGUUUGGUUGUAGUAUUUGUUGUGUUUGAGAAUAUUGUAUAUUGUAUAAUUUGUAUUUAGGAAAUUAUAAAACAAGCAAAAAAAAAAAUGCUCGAAUUUUGCAUUUAAGAAUACAUAACGGAAAUGAUCGUUACGUAAAAUACAUUUUAUAACAUAAAACAUAAGUUUUAUAACGGUAAAAACUGUUAUGUAUGCUUUCAUAAGAAAAUGGUAAUUAACCGUUACGUAAAAUAUAAAAAACCGUUAUGUAUAGUUACAAUACAUAACGAAAAAAAUAUAUUUUAUAACAGAUUUUACCGUUAUGUAUUACAUUUAUACAAAACGGUAAUCAAUGUGUUAUGUAUACCUCAUUUACCGUUAUGUAUUCAUAGUAUAGGUAACGGUAUAUUACCGUUAUGUAUGAGCACCCUCAUACAUAACACCACUAUAUAGGAUGCUUUUUUUGGUACAUAGAUAACGGAAAAUUACCGUUAUGUAUGAGCGUUUUUUUUAGUAGUGGCGAAGCACCGCCGCCUCGGUCACCCUCUCCCUUGAAUCUCCGGUGAUUUCAGCAGCGAUCAGCCGCCGCCCCACCUUCUAUUUGUGCAGAAUCCGACGGCCGCCGCAGCUGAAGCCAGCCACCGCCGGUCCGCCCCUCUCCCUCGAAUCUCCGGCCGCUGCCCGUAGAUCAGGCAUCGCCGCCUCCGACUCUCUCCCAGCUCAUUCCUCUCUCUCACAAUCCGCGACACUCCUCUCUCUGACUCGACUCGGAAGCAACACAGUCGCUACCGGAGCUCUGCCUCCCUCUGCUCUCUCUCAAACCUCCCGCCGCCGCCGUUCUCCGCCUAACUACUCUAGACCUGAGUCAACACCGCCAUCAUUCCACAAAGCCAACAAUGACUCAAGACUCAAGACUCCAUUUUUAUCAACAUGCUUCUCUUCAUUCUUCUACCUUUCUUUUCUUUUCUUUCAAAAAUAGACUCAUGCUUGUAUGUAAACACACAUAUAUAUAAACAGAGUAUAUGUAGAUGCAUUUGUAAAUGCCAUUUUUUUUCAAAAGUUUGAAAUGUGUUGCUGUGUAUAUAUUGAAUUUGUACAUGAUUAGGACAAGUUUCAAGCUUGAAGCCCGAUGUAUGAACAGGGGUAAGAAGAGAAUAACAGGUGAUUACCUUGUGAGAAAUUUCAGUGAGUAUUUGAUCCUACUUGCCUGCUGGAAAGGAACGGUUUGUAGAUACAAAAAUUAUUGAAUUGAAGGCUCUUAGUCAUAAGAGAAGAAGGUAAAUGAACUGGUUUGAAUUUCUUACUUGUAUGCUUGGAUUCUGGCGAAAUAAGCUUGUGGAGUAGAUGACAGUUGAAGAAUUUCAAAAUAGCUGAAUUACUCUUCUAUAGAUAGAAGAGUGCAGAUUGGAGACUAUAAUUGUGGAUGUUUCAGGGAGAGGUGGUAGGAGUAGGCUGUAGAAGUAGGUGAUGGGGAGAG
rnacentral:lncRNA from 1 species